GCCCAUAUUGUUUGUUCUACCAUAUCAAUUAUAUAUAUAUAUAUAUAUAUAUAUAUAAAGGCCGAAUGUAACAUGGUAGGACGACGCGUGAAUCUUUGUACACCACUUAGAAGCCAAAGGCCUAGUGGGUAGGCCUUCCUAAAGAAAAGGGAACAUUUUUUCGGUGGCAUUGUUAUGAUGGGACAAUGGAUUGAGAUGACAAGGUGUAAGUUCAAGGGCUUUUGACUGGUUUCGAAGCGACCGGCCUCCAACUUUGAAGUUUGAAUCAGUUGGUCUUGGAAGAAUGCAUCCAAGCCUGAUGAUCAUCUACAAGAACGUCCAACGGCAGCAUCAUGGACAGUGUGCUUCAAUGGCGGAGGAAAACUCCCAGAAGAGAUGCAAAACAUUCGAUAUUACAGAAAAAUCGCAGGGGAUGAUGUGGGUAUGCUUGCCGCGGUGCCACCAUGUGUUUGUUGAUAUGAAUUUGCUUAGAUUUUGGGGAAUUUUUGGAAUGGUACCUAAUUUCUGCGUUAAUCUAGAGAAGCUCAAGCCCUUUGCUUUGUCCAAAUGAAGGUUUAGUUCAGAAUCAGCUGCAGUAACAGCUAAUCUUUCUUGGUUUAGUAGAAAGAUAUUGCUUUUUGACCUUCUGACAAAUAGAAUAAAGUUUUGGCCUUGUGCGCCAGGCUAGGUAUUGGAGGCUGAUGGGCUAGGUUGGUGUAUGUCUAUAGUGUAUUUUAUUUUUAUUCUUCUUUUAAUUCUGGAUUUUUU